rnacentral:rRNA from 1 species
AUUGAACGCUGGCGGCAGGCUUAACACAUGCAAGUCGAGCGGAGAUGAGGUGCUUGCACCUUAUCUUAGCGGCGGACGGGUGAGUAAUGCUUAGGAAUCUGCCUAUUAGUGGGGGACAACAUUCCGAAAGGAAUGCUAAUACCGCAUACGUCCUACGGGAGAAAGCAGGGGAUCUUCGGACCUUGCGCUAAUAGAUGAGCCUAAGUCGGAUUAGCUAGUUGGUGGGGUAAAGGCCUACCAAGGCGACGAUCUGUAGCGGGUCUGAGAGGAUGAUCCGCCACACUGGGACUGAGACACGGCCCAGACUCCUGCGGGAGGCAGCAGUGGGGAAUAUUGGACAAUGGGGGGAACCCUGAUCCAGCCAUGCCGCGUGUGUGAAGAAGUCCUUAUGGUUGUAAAGCACUUUAAGCGAGGAGGAGGCUACUGAGACUAAUACUCUUGGAUAGUGGACGUUACUCGCAGAAUAAGCACCGGCUAACUCUGUGCCAGCCGCCGCAGUAA